AUCCGUUGUAGUCUAGUUGGUCAGGAUAUUCGGCUCUCACCCGAAAGACCCGGGUUCAAGUCCCGGCAACGGAAAU
rnacentral:tRNA from 1 species